AUGGCCGCUGAAGACGAGUUACUGCUGCGCGGCUCACAGAGCUAUUGGAAACCAGCAAACAGCUGCUGGAUGAAGUAGAAGUAGCGACUGCACCUGCCGGUUCCCGGAUAGUCCAGGAGAAGGUGUUCAAACGCCUGGACCUCCUUGAGAAGGCUGCCAAAAUGUUAUUGCAGCUCGACUUAUUCAGCCGAAAUGAAGACUUGGAAGAGAUUGGUCCCACCGACCUGAAGUACCUAUUUGGUACCAGCGUUUCAAGGAGCCCUCACCAUGAAAUAAGUCAACCCCAGCAAGUGUCUAGAUCAUUUGCAGCGGGCUCCAGAACACUUUAUAAACGACUUAACUGAGUGCCAUUGCUAUCAUGUGGCAGAGUCUGAGCUGCCCAAAGCCAAGAACAACUCAGCUGAAAAUCACACUGCUAAUUCCUCUAUGGCUUAUCCUAGCCUUGUUGCUAUGGCAUCUCAAAGACAGGCUAAAAUAGAGAGAUACAAGCAGAAGAAGGAUUUGGAGCAUAGGCUAUCUGCAAUGAAAUCUGCUGUGGAAAGUGGUCAAGCAGAUGAUGAGCAUGUUCAUGAAUCUUAUCUUCACCUUCGGAGGUGGAUUGAUAUCAGCUAAGAAGAGAUUGAGAGCAUUGACCAGGAAAUAAAGAUCCUGAGAGAAAGAAACUCUUCAAGAGAGGCAUCAACUUCUAACACAUCUCGUCUGGAGAGGCCUCCAAUGGAACCCUUCAUUCUCACUAGGAACAUGGCCCAAACCAAAGUGUUUGGAGCUGCUUAUCCAAGUCUGGCAACUAUGACAGUGAGUGACUGGUAUGAGCAACAUCGGAAAUAUGGAGCAUUACCAGAUCAGGGAAUAACCAAGAAAACACCAGAAGAAGAAUUCAAAAAAGCAGCUCAGCAACGGGAAAAUCAAGAAAAAAAGGAGGAAGACGAUGAUGAACAAACACUGUACAGAGCUCCGGAGUGGGAUGACUGGAAGGACACCCAUCCUAGGGGCUAUGGCAACCGACAGAACAUGGGCUGAUCUUCCCACAACACCACAGGACUGCAGGGUGCACACCUCCCCCCGCCAAGAAAAAUCAUGCAGUCCUCCCCUCCCUGGGCUCCGGCCUCAGCUAGGUACAACAAAGGCAAAGAUGCUAAAUCUUGCUUUGCAUUCAAUAAAGUGUCAAGUGAUUAAGUGUGUAUUUGUAUCCUAGGUGAUGUGAACCAGCAGUCUUGUUUUGGCAUCAUCAUCCUCAUCAUGUUGUAUUUUAAUUUCUUAAGUAGAAAGAAAAGCGUGCUGAGAAAUGGCUCUGUAUAAUCAAUGGCUGUCUGAAUUCUCUGAAAAAAUAAAAGUUCCCUCUAUUACA